GACGAACGCUGGCGGCGUGCUUAACACAUGCAAGUCGAACGGAGUGGCGAACGGGUGAGUAAUGUAUCGGAACGUGCCCAGUCGCGGGGGAUAACUACGCGAAAGCGUAGCUAAUACCGCAUACUAUUGGAGCGGCCGAUUUCGGAUUAGCUAGUUGGGGGGGUAACGGCUCACCAAGGCGACGAUCCGUAGCUGGUUUGAGAGGACGACCAGCCAAACUGGGACUGAGACACGGCCCAGACUCCUACGGGAGGCAGCAGUGGUGAAUUUUGGACAAUGGGGGAAACCCGGAUCCAGCCAUCCCGCGUGUGCGAUGAAGGCCUUCGGGUUGUAAAGCACUUUUGGCAGGAAAGCGGUACCUGCAGAAUAAGCACCGGCUAACUACGUGCCAGCAGCCGCGGUAAUAC
rnacentral:rRNA from 1 species